CCAUGGAACAACUCAUAAUCGUGCGCUUGCAACUCCCCUGAUCGCAGAUGCUGCUUUUCAUCCCUCUCUCGGUUGCUUUCAUCUUCACCUCCUCUCUCUCUCUCGGAGUGGGGAGGUGCUGUUGCCAUGGGCCAUUGACUCCUGAUGGCCGCAUUGACCCCAUUGUCGUUUGCCUUGUUGCCCUGCUUCGGUGAAACCUGAGUGUAUUGUUGCACCAUCGGUUUCAACUUCCCUGCCUCAUAAGGCCCACGGCAUGUACAGAGUCGCUGUCUGGUAUCUUCCAAAGCAAUAAUGGUGUUUAUCGGCGCUUCACUGGUAUUGAAUGGUGUUGAAGAUAACAUUUUUUUUAUGGAUAUCACAAGUAUUAGUUCAAGCUCAAAUAACAACCUUUUUU